UACGUAGGGGGCAAGCGUUAUCCGGAUUUACUGGGCGUAAAGAGCGUGUAGGUGGUUACGUAAGUUGGUUGUGAAAUCUCCCGGCUCAACCGGGAAACUGCAAUCAAUACUGCGUGGCUAGAGUGGCAGAGAGGAAAGUGGAAUUCCCGGUGUAGUAGUGAAAUGCGUAGAUAUCGGGAGGAACACCAGCGGCGAAGGCGACUUUCUGGCUGCCAACUGACACUGAGACGCGAAAGCUAGGGGAGCGAACGGG
rnacentral:rRNA from 1 species